rnacentral:misc_RNA from 1 species
UUAACUUAUUUAUAGUUGACUCAGAGAUAUUAAAAAAACAGAGUUUUAUGGUCCGUCGGUGGACUACAAGGUAACUACAGGGUAACUACCGGGUAGGCCACCGAGGCAACAGAGGUAUGUUCACAUGGGUUUGGGAGUUUUACAACUCUAUAAUGAUCCCUCCGCUGGUUCACCAACGGAGA